rnacentral:rRNA from 1 species
AGCGAACGCUGGCGGCAGGCCUAACACAUGCAAGUCGAACGAACCUUUCGGGGUUAGUGGCGGACGGGUGAGUAACACGUGGGAACGUGCCUUUAGGUUCGGAAUAACUCAGGGAAACUUGUGCUAAUACCGAAUGUGCCCUUCGGGGGAAAGAUUUAUCGCCUUUAGAGCGGCCCGCGUCUGAUUAGCUUGUUGGUUGAGGUAGUGGCUCACCAAGGCUACGAUCAGUAGCUGGUCUGAGAGGAUGAUCAGCCACAUUGGGACUGAGACACGGCCCAAACACCUACGGGAGGCAGCAGUGGGGAAUCUGGCGCAAUGGGCGAAAGCCUAACGCAGCCAUGCCGCGUGAAUGAUGAAGGGCGUAGGAUGGUAAAAUUCUUUCACCGGGGACGAUAAUGACGGUACCCGGGGAAGAAGCCCCGCCUAACUUCGU